UACGUAGGGUGCGAGCGUUACUCGGAAUCACUGGGCUUACAGGGUGCGUAGGCGGCUCAACAAGUCAGGUGUGAAAGCCCCCGGCUCAACCGGGGAACUGCGCUUGAAACUGUUAGGCUCGAGUCAGCUAGAGGUACACGGAACUUCCAGUGGAGCGGUGAAAUGUGUUGAUAUUGGAAGGAACACCGGAGGCGAAAGCGGUGUACUGGGGCUGGUCUGACGCUGAGGCACGAAAGCCAGGGGAGCGAACGGG
rnacentral:rRNA from 1 species